AUUGAACGCUGGCGGCAUGCCUAACACAUGCAAGUCGAACGGCAGCAUGACCCAGCUUGCUAGGUUGAUGGCGAGUGGCGCACGGGUGAGUAAUGCGUAGGAAUAUGCCUUGAAGUGGGGGAUAACCUGGGGAAACUCAGGCUAAUACCGCAUGAGCUCUAAGGAGGAAAGCUGGGGACCGAAAGGCCUGGCGCUUCAAGAUUAGCCUACGUCCGCUUAGCUAGUUGGUAGGGUAAAGGCCUACCAAGGCGACGAUCGGUAGCUGGUCUGAGAGGAUGGUCAGCGACACUGGGACUAGAACACGGCCGAGACUACUGAGGGAGGGAGCAGUGGGGAAUUUUGGACAGUGGGGGCAAGCCCGAGGCAGCGAUGCCGAGGGUGUGAAGAAGGGGUGGGGGGUGUAAAGCACUUUCAGUGGGGAGGAGGAGUGGGGGGUUAAGAGCUAGUAAGGUGGACGUUACCCACGGAAGAAGCACCGGCUAACUCCGUGCCAGCAGCCGCCGUAA
rnacentral:rRNA from 1 species